rnacentral:rRNA from 1 species
CCUACGGGCGGCAGCAGUGAGGAAUAUUGGUCAAUGGCCGGAAGGCUGAACCAGCCAUGCCGCGUGAAGGGCAGGGACCUAUGGGCGUUAAACUUCUUUUGUGCGGGAGCAAGAAUGGUCACGUGUGGCCAGACGAGAGUACCGUACGAAUAAGCAGCGGCUAACUCCGGGCCAGCAGCCGCGGUAAUACGGGGGAUGCAAGCGUUCUCCGGAUUUCGUGGGGUUCAAGGGUGCGUAGGCUGUGAGGUAAGUCAGCGGUGAAAUGCCCCCGCUCAACGGGGUGAAGUGCCAUUGAUACUGCCUUGCUGGAUUGCGGAUGCCGUGGGAGGAAUGUGUGGUGUCGCGGUGAAAUGCAUAGAUAUCACAC